UACGAAGGGUGCAAGCGUUACUCGGAAUUACUGGGCGUAAAGCGUGCGUAGGUGGUUCGUUAAGCCUGAUGUGAAAGCCCCGGGCUCAACCUGGGAACUGCAUUGGAUACUGGCGAUCUGGAGUGCGGUAGAGGGUGGCGGAAUUCCCGGUGUAGCAGUGAAAUGCGUAGAUAUCAGGAGGAACAUCCGUGGCGAAGGCGGCCACCUGGACCAGCACUGACACUGAGGCACGAAAGCGUGGGGAGCAAACAGG
rnacentral:rRNA from 1 species